AUGACCCUGCUGGAGUGCGGGGGGGACCUCCAGCCCCCCGGGGGGUCCCUGCGCCUCCUCUGCCGAGGGUCCGGGUUCAAUUUCGGGAGCAAUGGAAUGUUCUGGAUGCGCCAGAGACCCGGGCAGGGGCUGCAGUGGCUCGCGGGGAUCAACAAGGAUGGUUCCGGCACCUACUACGCGCCAUCGGUCAAGGGCCGGUUCACGAUCUCCAGGGACAACGGGCAGAGCUCGGUGACGCUGACCAUGAACAACGUCAGGAAGGAAGAUUCGGGAUCCUAUUUCUGUGCCAAAUCUGCUGAUAAUUAUUGGGGCAAUAAUGCUCAUGGUUUUGACCCCAUUCCCAUGGCCGUGUCCCCACCUGUCCCCGUUAUCCAGAUCCUUCCCCAAUCCAAGCCCCUGACCCCAUUCCUGUCCCCCUGUCCCAUCUCUGAGCUGGCUCUGCCCCAGUUCUCAGCUCCGGGCCCCAAUCUCAGCUCUGGGCUCCAACUCUCAACCAAGGUCCCCAAACCUGGGUGCAAAUGGUCGAGAUUUGGGGAAAAUGGGCCGGAUUUGGGUCUGUGGCUUUGA